rnacentral:rRNA from 1 species
UAGGGAAUCUUCCACAAUGGACGCAAGUCUGAUGGAGCAACGCCGCGUGAGUGAAGAAGGUUUUCGGACCGUAAAGCUCUGUUGUUGGUGAAGAAGGAUAGAGGUAGUAACUGGCCUUUAUUUGACGGUAAUCAACCAGAAAGUCACGGCUAACUACGUGCCAGCAGCCGCGGUAAUACGUAGGUGGCAAGCGUUGUCCGGAUUUAUUGGGCGUAAAGCGAGCGCAGGCGGAAGAAUAAGUCUGAUGUGAAAGCCCUCGGCUUAACCGAGGAAUUGCAUCGGAAACUGUUUUCUUGAGUGCAGAAGAGGAGAGUAGAACUCCAUGUGUAGCGGUGGAAUGCGUAGAUAUAUGGAAGAAUACCAGUGGCGAAGGCGGCUCUCUGGUCUGCAAACUGACGCUGAGGCUCGAAAGCAUGGGUAGCGAACAGG